UGGCUGCAUGGCUGUCGUCAGCUCGUGUCGUGAGAUGUUCGGUUAAGUCCGCUAACGAGCGCAACCUCGCUGUGUGUUACAAGUGUCACACGGAACUGCCGGUCAUAAACCGGAGGAAGGUGGGGAUGACGUCAAGUCAGCAUGGCCUUUAUAUCCUGGGCUACACACACGCUACAAUGGGAAGGGACAAUAGGUUGCGAAGCCGCGAGGCGGAGCCAAUCCAGCAAAACUUCCCUCAGUUCAGAUUGCAGGCUGCAACUCGCCUGCAUGAAGUUGGAGUUGCCAGUAAACGCAGGUCAGCCAUACUGCGUUGAAUACGUUCCCGGGGCUU
rnacentral:rRNA from 1 species